rnacentral:ncRNA from 1 species
CAAAGGCUUGGUCCUGACUUUUCUAUCAGCUUUAGCUAGACUUACACAUGCGAGUAUCCGCAGCCCCGUGAAAAUGCCCUCUAAUCUCUUACGAGAACGAGGAGUGGGUAUCAGGCACACCAAAGUUGCCCACGACACCUUGCUCAGCCACACCCCCAAGGGAAACAGCAGUGAUAAACAUUAAGCAAUGAGUGAAAACUUGACUUAGUUAAAGCUAAGAGGGUCGGUAAAACUCGUGCCAGCAACCGCGGUUAUACGAGAGACCCAAGUUGAUAGACAUCGGCAUAAAGAGUGGUUAAGGAAACAUAAAACUAAAGCCGAACGCCCCCAGAGCUGUCAUACGCUCCCGAGAGUAGGAAGAUCGCCCACGAAAGUGACUUUACACUGCCUGAACCCACGAAAGCCAUGAAAACAAACUGGGAUUAGAUACCCCACUAUGCUUGGCCGUAAACAAUAAUAAGAAAAUUAACUUAUUCGCCAGGGUACUACGAGCACUAGCUUAAAACCCAAAGGACUUGGCGGUGCUUUAGACCCACCUAGAGGAGCCUGUUCUAGAACCGAUAACCCCCGUUCAACCUCACCCUUUCUUGUUAUCUCCGCCUAUAUACCGCCGUCGUCAGCUUACCCUGUAAAGGAUCCAAAGUAAGCAAUAUUGGCACAACCCAAAACGUCAGGUCGAGGUGUAGCGUAUGCAAGGGGAAGAAAUGGGCUACAUUCGCUGACACAGCGUACAAACGAAUUAACCCACUGAAAAAUGGGUAUGAAGGAGGAUUUAGAAGUAAGAGGGAAGUAGAGCGUCCCCCUGAAACAGGCCCUGAAGCGCGCACACACCGCCCGUCACUCUCCCUAGUACAACGAUAAAAAUCCAUAAAAAGAGAUGAAACAAAAGGGGAGGCAAGUCGUAACAUGGUAAGUGUACCGGAAGGUGCACUUGGACAAAC